GUGGGGAAUCUUGCGCAAUGGGCGAAAGCCUGACGCAGCCAUGCCGCGUGAAUGAUGAAGGUCUUAGGAUUGUAAAAUUCUUUCACCGGGGACGAUAAUGACGGUACCCGGAGAAGAAGCUCCGGCUAACUUCGUGCCAGCAGCCGCGGUAAUACGAAGGGGGCUAGCGUUGCUCGGAAUUACUGGGCGUAAAGGGCGCGUAGGCGGACAGCUUAGUCAGAGGUGAAAGCCCAGGGCUCAACCUUGGAAUUGCCUUUGAUACUGGCUGUCUUGAGUUUGGGGGAGGUGAGUGGAACUCCGAGUGUAGAGGUGAAAUUCGUAGAUAUUCGGAGGAACACCAGUGGCGAAGGCGGCUCACUGGCUCGAUACUGACGCUGAGGUGCGAAAGCGUGGGGAGCAAACAGGAUUAGAUACCCUAGUAGUCC
rnacentral:rRNA from 1 species